UCAUUACCAAAAGACAACAGAAAACAACUUUCAGGGAAGAGGAAGCCACAUGGCAGCCGCCCCUGUCGGGCCACCCAAUACCUGCGAAACGCCACCGUCCUAGCAGUGGCGGACAAAAAAAAUCAAAAUAAAAAAUCAGGCAUGGUGGCCCGUUUACCUUCAUCAAACCCUCUGUGUACCACUUCCACGUUGCUUCCCCGCAAACAUCCCUCUCAGGUUGGCGCGGGGGAGGUCUGCAGCAAACAAACCAGCGCGCGACAGCAGUCAGAAGGCAAUUGAUAGAAACGAUAAAACUUUCAACAACGGAUCUCUUGGUUCCCGCAUCGAUGAAGAACGCAGCGAAAUGCGAUAAGUAAUGUGAAUUGCAGAAUUCAGUGAAUCAUCGAAUCUUUGAACGCACAUUGCGCCCUCUGGUAUUCUGGGGGGCAUGCCUGUUCGAGCCUCAAUGAAACCUCUCCCUCAGUACAGGUCUUUCUGCAAUUGGGGGGUUAUGCUGGAUGCCCACGCCAUCAAAAGUGUGGGCACCGCUCAAAUUCACAGUCCCCGUGCCCGAGGGUAGCGACCGGCGUAGUGAGAAUCAAUCUCGUCGGUGAUGCCACCCCACAGAGGCAAUGGGACCUUAAGCGCCCAGGCGCCAACCUCAAAACGGUUGAGC
rnacentral:rRNA from 1 species